GCCACACCUAGCCCAACACAGCCCUUAACUCAACUACCAACAUCAACCCAAAGGAACCUUACCAUUUACACCAAUAAAAGUAUAUGCGAUAGAAUUUAUCAACACGCGCCAUAGAGAUAGUACCGCAAGGGUUAGAUGAAAGAACAACUAAUAGCACAAAACAGCAAAGACCAACGGUUUUACCUUUUGCAUAAUGAACUAACCACAAAAACCUUGACAAAGAGCCCUUCAGGGAUAAACCCCGAAUCCAGACGAGCUACCCGCGGACAGCACAAAGAACCAAUUCAUCUAUGUUGCUUAAUAGUCAAAAGAUCCUCAGGUAGAGGUGAAAAGCCUAACCGAGCCUGGCGAUAGCUGGUUGUCCCGAAAUUGAACCUAAGUUCAACUUAAAAUAAGCCCAAAGAACAUAACAUCUAAUCUCAACACAAAAAUUAAAUAUAAUCAACAGAGGUACAGCUCUGCUGACAAGGGACAAUCCCCACCUAGAGAGUAACCACCGCACUCCGGCCGUCCAUAGUAGACCUAAUUGCAGGCACCAAUAAAGCAAGCGUUCAAGCUCAACUAGCAAUAACUCCUUAAAUACCAAAAGCCACACCCAACUCCUAAAACCCCAUUGGACCAAUCUAAAAUAUAGAAGAGACAAUGUUAGUAUAACUAAUAAGAAUAACUUCUGGACCCACUAGCUUAUAUCAGAACGGACCUACGACUGAUAGUUAACAGCCAGACUUCCAUACUGGCCCAAAUAUCCCCAAGUCGUAACUCACUGUUAACCCAACACAGGAAUGCCUACUGGAAAGAUUAAAAGAAGCAGAAGGAACUCGGCUUACAUAAAUCCCGCCUGUUUACCAAUUACAUAACCUCUAGCAUAACAACUUUUAGAGGCACCGCCUGCCCAGUGACAUAUGUUCAACGGCCGCGGUACCCUGACCGUGCAAAGGUAGCAUAAUCAAAUGUUCAAUAAUUAAGCACUUGCAUGAAAGGCCCUACGAGGAUUUUACUGUCUCCUACUUCCUUUCUGUGAAAUUUACCCGCCCGUGAAGAGGCACCGAUAACCAUAUAAGACGAGAAGACCCUUCGGAACUUUAAUUAACUAGCCUAAUCAUAACCCAAACAAACCUAGCAGGGACAACUUUCCUUGACCUAGACUAGCAAUUUCGGUUGGCCCGACCUCGGAGUACAAUUAAACCUCCGAAUCACCAUGCUCCCAGACCUCACCAGUCAACGUGCCCCAAUAUCAACUCAAUUGACCCAAGUUAUUGACCAACGGAACAAGCUACCCUAGGGAUAACAGCGCAAUCCUAUUUCAGAGUCCAUAUCGACAAUAGGGAAAACGACCUCGAUGUUGGAUCAGGACAUCCCAGUAGUGUAACCGCCACUAAAGGUUGGAAUGUUCAACGAUUAAAGUCCUACGUGAUCUGAGUUCAGACCGGAGUAAUCCAGGUCGCUUUCUAUCUAUAAACCUUAACUCCCAGUACGAAAGGACUUGAGAAACUGGCCCUACUCUACAAAAGCGCCCUUUAACCUAUUAGAUGACCAAAUCUAAAUCUAGUAAAUCUCCUAACAACCAACCCAAUUCCAGGGUUU
rnacentral:rRNA from 1 species